rnacentral:rRNA from 1 species
CGGGCGCACGGCGGAUGCCUUGGCACAGGGAGCCGAUGAAGGACGCGGCAAGCUGCGAUAAUCCCCGGCGAGGAGCACACAUCCUUCGACCCGGGGGUCUCCGAAUGGGCGAACCCAUCCACAGAGGUGUGGAUAUCCCCACCCCGAACACAUAGGGGCGGGGAGGACAACCCGGGGAACUGAAACAUCUAAGUACCCGGAGGAGAGGAAAUCAAUCUCGAGACUCCCCGAGUAGCGGCGAGCGAAAGGGGACCGAUGGCCAAACCGUCGAGCGGGCAUACCCGGCAGGGGUUCCGCCGACGGGGUUGCAGGGCCGCGCAUCCGGGGGCUGCCGCCCCCGGGCGCAGGUCCGGCUGGGGAGCGGAACGGCAUGGGAGGGCCGGCCGCAGCGGGUGACAGCCCCGUACGCGAACCCAGACCGGACGGCGCGACGCGGUCCCUGAGUAGGGCCGGGCACGUGAAACCCGGUCCGAACCUGGGUGGACCACCAUCCAAGCCUGAGUACUACCCUGUGACCGAUAGCGCACCAGUACCGUGAGGGAAAGGUGAAAAGCACCCCGGGAGGGGAGUGAAACAGUACCUGAAACCGUGCGCCCACGAGCAGUCGGAGCACCUAUAUGGUGUGACGGCGUGCCUUUUGUAGAAUGAGCCAGCGAGUCGCUGGCGCGGGGCGAGGUUAACCGAAAGGGAGCCGUAGCGAAAGCGAGCCUUAACAGGGCGACUUGAGUCCCGCGCCGCGGACGCGAAGCCGGGUGAGCUAUCCGUGGGCAGGCUGAAGCGGGGGUAAGACCCCGUGGAGGGCCGAACGCACGUCGGUUGAAAACGGCGGCGAUGACCUGCGGAUAGGGGUGAAAGGCCAAUCAAACCCGGAGAUAUCUCGUUCUCCCCGAAAUAGCUUUAGGGCUAGCGUCGCGCGUUCACCGCCGGAGGUAGAGCACCGGAUGGACGAGGGGGCUUCGCCGCCUACCGAAUCCAACCGAACUCCGAAUGCCGGCGGCCCAGAGCGCGGCAGUCAGAGCAUGUGGGCUAAGCUGUGUGCUCGAGAGGGAAACAGCCCGGACCGCCCGCUAAGGUCCCCAAGUUCCAGCCGAGUGGCAAAGGAUGUGCGUCCGCCCAGACAACCAGGAUGUUGGCUUAGAAGCAGCCAUGCAUUCAAAGAGUGCGUAACAGCUCACUGGUCGAGUGGACAUGCGCCGACAAUACACGGGGCUAAGCUGGACACCGAAGCGGCGGGAUUUUGAUUUUCAGAAUCGGUAGGGGAGCUUCCCAUGGGCGGUGAAGCCGCCGGGCGACCGGCGGUGGAGCGCAUGGGAGUGAGAAUGCUGGCAUGAGUAGCGAGAGACGAGAGAGUAACUCGUCCGCCGUGAACCCGAGGUUUCCUGGGCAAGGCUAAUCCUCCCAGGGUCAGUCGGGGGCUAAGGCGAGGCCGGGAGGCGUAGCCGACGCGCAGCAGGCAGACAUUCCUGCACCGCGCACGCGGCGCUACGACCGACGGGGCGACGGAUGGGGGUGGCUCGGCGGGGUUCUGGACGUCCCCGUGAUGGAGCGCGGCCCGCGGACCAGGGAAAUCCGGUCCGCACGAGGGCGAGGCUCCGGACGAAGCGAUUGAGCGAAGCGAGUGAGCCCGAGGUCCCUAGAAAAACCCCUAGGCAGGCGCGUGCGCGCCCGUACCGCAAACCGACACAGGUGGGUGGGUAGAACAUACCGAGGCGAUCGGGUCAACCAUGGUCAAGGAACUCGGCACAAUGGCCCCGUAACUUCGGGAGAAGGGGUGCCCGCGCGUACGUGAACGGACUUGCUCCGGGAGCGGAGGCGGGCCGCAGUGGAGAGGCCCAAGCGACUGUUUACCAAAAACACAGGACUCUGCAGAAGCCGCAAGGCGACGUAUAGGGUCUGACGCCUGCCCGGUGCCGGAAGGUCACGCGGAGGAGUUAGCGCAUCGCGCGAAGCCCCGAAGCCAAGCCCCGGUAAACGGCGGCCGUAACUAUAACGGUCCUAAGGUAGCGAAAUUCCUUGUCGGGUAAGUUCCGACCUGCACGAAAGGCGCAACGACUUGGGCGCUGUCUCGACCAUGGACCCGGUGAAAUUGCACUGGUCGUGAAGAUGCGACUUACCCGCGGAAGGACGGAAAGACCCCGUGAACCUUCACUGCAGCUUGGCAUUGGCCGCUGGUCCCGCGUGUAGAGGAUAGGCAGGAGGCACAGAUCCGGAGGCGCCAGCCCCCGGGGAGCCGCCCUUGGAAUACUGCCCUCGCGCGACCGGCGUCCUAACCCGAGGCCGUCGACCGGCUCGGGGACCGUGCCAGGCGGGCAGUUUGACUGGGGCGGUCGCCUCCUAAAGGGUAACGGAGGCGCGCGAAGGUCCGCUCGGGACGGUCGGCAACCGUCCUUUUGAAUGCAAGAGUACAAGCGGGCUUGACUGCGAGGCCCACAAGCCGAGCAGGUGCGAAAGCAGGCUCUAGUGAUCCGGCGGCCCCGAGUGGGUGGGCCGUCGCUCAACGGAUAAAAGGUACUCCGGGGAUAACAGGCUGAUCUUGCCCAAGAGUCCACAUCGACGGCAAGGUUUGGCACCUCGAUGUCGGCUCAUCGCAUCCUGGGGCUGGAGCAGGUCCCAAGGGUACGGCUGUUCGCCGUUUAAAGCGGUACGCGAGCUGGGUUCAGAACGUCGUGAGACAGUUCGGUCCCUAU